UGACUUGAAUGUUUAGCGUUUGUUGAAGAAUGCGAAACAACCAUGUAAUUUGGUUGACUUGAAUGUUUAGCGUUUGUUGAAGAAUGCGAAACAACCGUUUCUUUCCUAAAGCUUAAGUUGUCGGAGAAUGGUGGCUUAAUAUUGUAAAUUCAACCGUCUCCCUCACGUCUGGACUCGAGACAUUUUGAUAGGCCCAGGAUGUAGACAAGUUAAAUUGGAGAAAAUUAAAUAAGACUAGGAGUCUGGUGGGAUUCAAAUCUAUAAUCUCAUGCUCCGAUACUAUGGUAAAGAAAGUGAAACAGUUGCUUUUCUGCAAAAGCUUAGGCGUCAACGAACGGUGUUUUGAUAUUGUAUAUCGAACAGUGUUUCUGUUCUAAUAUUAGCCACAUAACCAUAUGGAAAUCAGAAACAUAACCCGCACGGAAAUUAGGGAGGUGUUUUCGGGUAGAGAAAUAUUUUUAUGUUUGAGAAAAACUUAAUUCAUGGCAAAUCGAGCAGCUUUGCUUACACUUAUUGAACUCAUUGUAAAUCACCAGAAAUCACAUUAAAUCACAUUAAAUCACAUUGGACUAGUUUUCCAUGUCAUUGAAAUGUGCUUUGCAAUUCCAUUCAAAUCAUUGAUUUAUAGACAAGCGUUAGAUAUUUUUGCUCCUUGUUCCAUGCCUAAGAUUAAUAAUAGUAAGAUGGAUUAAAAAGUAGAUGGUUCUGCUUUAGUAUUUUGAAACUUUGAUACCGUCCAUCUCGGACCAUGUGGGCAUAUUUUGCAUGCCGUUCAGCAUUUGUUUCCCAAUCAUUUUAUUUGAUGCUGUAGAUGCUAUUUUUGAGGCUUGAGAGUUUUAGUUGUUAACAAUUACAACCAGGUUAAACUUUGGUUAGAAGAGUUAGGAAUGAUAUUUCAAGUAGUUUUUAUCUAGGAUGAAUGUACAAGCACUGUUCACACAGAAAAAUAGCAUUAGACCUUAUCUGGGAUGGUCUUUUCGUGUUUGGGUAUUACAAGCUUGAGUUUGAAUAGGAUUUAUAUAAGGCAGCUACUCGUGGAGUUUCUAUAACAAAAAAGUUUUAUCUCAUUACAUUGAACUUCAAAUUUAGUUAAUAAUCAAGUUUCUGUUCUAUAUCAUAAAUUCUUUCAAUUGAAAAAUCCAAAGUCAAUUCUAUUAUUUGGAAUAAACUUCUCUGAUCAUUGAAGUACUUAUCUUGCAUCCUAUCCCGUGUUACACUA
rnacentral:lncRNA from 1 species